rnacentral:rRNA from 1 species
GACGAACGCUGGCGGCGUGCUUAACACAUGCAAGUCGAACGGAGUGGCGAACGGGUGAGUAACACGUGGGUGACCUGCCCUGCACUUCGGGAUAAGCCUGGGAAACUGGGUCUAAUACCGGCUAGUGUGGGCUGGGCCCGCGGCCUAUCAGCUUGGUGGUGGGGUAAUGGCCUACCAAGGCGGCGACGGGUAGCCGGCAUGAGAGGGUGGAAGGCCAAAUUGGGACGGAGACACGGCCCAGAGUGCUACGGGAGGCAGAAGUGGGGAAUAUUGCACAAUGGGGGGAAGCAUGAGGCAGCGACGCCGGGGGGGGGAGGACGGCGUUCGGGUUGGAAACUCCUGUAACCAUCGACGCGGUAGAUGGAGAAGAAGCACCGGCUAACUACGUGCCAGAAGCCGCGGUAAUUC